UACGGAAGGCAGCAGUGGGGAAUAUUGCACAAUGGGCGCAAGCCUGAUGCAGCCAUGCCGCGUGUAUGAAAAAGGCCUUCGGGUUGUAAAGUACUUUCAGUCGUGAGGAAGGUGUUAAGGUUAAUAACCUUAGCAAUUGACGUUAGCGACAGAAGAAGCACCGGCUAACUCCGUGCCAGCAGCCGCGGUAAUACGGAGGGUGCGAGCGUUAAUCGGAAUUACUGGGCGUAAAGGGCACGCAGGCGGUUAAUUAAGUUGGAUGUGAAAUCCCCGGGCUUAACCUGGGAAUGGCAUUCAAGACUGGUUAGCUAGAGUCUUGUAGAGGGGGUAGAAUUCCAUGUGUAGCGGUGAAAUGCGUAGAGAUGUGGGGGAAUACCGGUGGCGAAGGCGGCCCCUGGACAAAGACUGACGCUCAUGUGCGAAAGCGUGGGGAGCAAACGAGGGAUUAGAUACC
rnacentral:rRNA from 1 species